AUAUAAUACAUGGAAUAUGAUCUACAUUUCGAAAAAAUAGUAAAUAUAUAAUCAUUGACACGUAAUGAGAAAAAGUUAAAUCUCAGAAUUAUGUGAAUUGACCACACUUUUCGUGUACAAACGUGGCAAAGGUUUAUGAGACACUGUGCGUUUGAAUCAUCAACCUUAUCAUCUCCACAUGGCUUAAAAUUAAUGAUUUAUUAAUAAUUUGACAAUGCGAUACUUUACUUUGUCGAUAUUUUACUACCGGUAUCAAAGUUGUAAUUAUAAUGAUGUCAUUUGAAAUAUAAUUGAGAGAUAUUAUCCUUCCAAGUAAAUUUCAACAUAUUGUCAUGUUCCCAGGAAGUAAUAUACACUUACAUGCAGAUAUCUAUUCUUACAAAUAUUUUAACAAGUACAACAAUUUUAACAAGUAUUUAAAUAGGUUAAUAACUUCUAUAUUUUUUCUUUAAGUACACUUAUAUACACUUUUUAUAAGAUUAAUUUGCGUUUUGCAAAAUGAUGCUCGUUUCUUGUCAAAAUCUAUAUUUUGUUUCGAUGUGUAUAUAUUUUGUGUGUAUCGAACUUUAUAAAUACACUAAUAUUAAGGCAACAGU